AAACACCACAGAGAUACACUGGACUCCGUGAGUACCAGCUGGGGGCUUGCUUUGGGAGGGAGUUGAUGGCAGGCAGUACUAGGCCCCGGUCCUACUGUCCCUCACCUAUAGGUUGGGGAAACUCCCAGGUAGAGCUAAUCUUAGGUGAUGGGAACAGGGCACCAGAAGUGACAGCUCUUGGUAGAACUGCCAGCAGGUCUGGGAAGGAGCCCGAGGCCUCUGGCUGCUAUGCUGCCAUUUCCACAGGUACCGGGCCAUGUACCAGUACAGACCCCAGAAUGAAGAUGAGCUGGAACUUCGUGAGGGAGACCGUGUGGAUGUCAUGCAGCAGUGUGAUGAUGGCUGGUUUGUGGGUGUCUCCCGGAGAACUCAGAAAUUUGGGACAUUCCCUGGAAAUUAUGUAGCCCCGGUGUGAAUGGUCUCCAUGGCAGUAUGGAGCCAACGAGGAUCGGGUGGGGAGCAGUAGCACUAUGGGAGGGAGAGAGGCCCUCCAUAUCCUCCUCCCCCAGGACCUAUGCUCCCAGCUUCUGCAGAAACCCCAGCAACUUUUCCUCCAAGCCUCCUUGAAGUCCCCUGGACUGAUUCCCACCCGCAAGUCACAGGCAUUCCUUUGACAGCCCCCUUCACCGCCCCUCAAAUACAGACAUCUGCUUUCAUGUGGAGACUGUCUCCAGGCCUUAUUGAGACCAGACCCCCCCAAGCCUCCACCCCCCCCCCAGCAUUUCCCCUAAUGGGGACUGGCUCUCGCUUCACCCCCAUGGGGUUCCUCUAAUAAGGACCAGCCUCCUACCCUGGUGAAGACCAAAGGCCUCCUCCAGUUUCUCACCAGCUUGCCUGCUACCACUUUGCCUUCUGGCCUCCAGCUGGGCCUGCAAGCAAGGUGGGGAACACCUCCUCAGUCUUCAAGGCCUAGUGAGAGACUUUGCCUCAAGGCCUCAGGGCCUACUGGGCCCCUGGGUAGGGCCUCCACAUAUACCUUACCCACUGAGGCACACAACUGCCCUGGCCUAUCAGAAGAUUUAUUUACAGGGAGACAAGCUUGCUGUCCCAGUUCCCAGCUCUUCCCGGUGUCCUGGUCCCCUCUGGAAGAGAAUGUAAAAUAAACGUGGGCACCAGGGA
rnacentral:lncRNA from 1 species